UGAGCAAUCUGCCCUUCUCAUCGGAAUAACCAUUGGAAACGAUGGCUAAUGCCGAAUACGACCUCCUUUCGCAUGAUCGGAGGUGGAAAGCUCCGGCGGUGAAGGAUGAGCUCGCGGCCUAUCAGCUUGUUGGUGGGGUAACGCCCACCAAGGCUUCGACGGGUAGCCGGCCUGAGAGGGUGACCGGCCACACUGGGACUGAGACACGGCCCAGACCUCCGUACGGGAGCAGCG
rnacentral:rRNA from 1 species